rnacentral:lncRNA from 1 species
GAAAACCUGAGCUAAGUUCUGACGAGAGUGGCGUGGAAGCUGUCGGAUGUACCUUCUUGCAUCCUCGUUUCUUGUGAAAUUGAGGUCGGAAUCAGUAGGUGUGCCUAGAAGCUGCAAAACAGAUCAUCAAAUCAGAGACGUUUAGUGGUAAAUUAGCAAUGAAAUCUAUGCAGCAAUCCCACAAAAAAGAAAGCUUCAAAACAGAAAAGUUUAGUUCUAACAGACAAAUCAAACAACUUAGGAUCGGAAAAGUUGGAAACUAAGCUAGCCCUUUUUGCAGCAUGAAUCAAGAUUUGAAAUUUUCUUCAACUUUUUUAUUGGUAGCGAUGCAAUAUGAAAUCUAUGCAGAAAUCCCAAAUAAAAAACAAUAGCUUCAAAACAGAGAGAUUUAGUUCGAAUAGGCAAAUUAAACAAUUCAGAAAGCGAAGCAAAGUAUGGACCAAGAAUUGAAAUUCUCUUCAUUUUUCUGAAUGGUAAUAAUGAUGCAUUAUGAAAUCAGUGCAGCAACCCCACAAAAAUAAUUAGCUCCAGACAUAGAGAAAGUUAGUUGUAACAAGCAACUCAAAUAAUAGUUAACAAGCAACAAUCAUGGGGAAAAAAAAAGUAGCAGCCCUUUUGCAGCAUGCAUCAAUAAUUGGAAAAUCUUGAUCUUUUUUAAGAUUGGUAAUGUAUGUACCUCAAUCAACAAGUGCAUUUGAUGCACGUGAUCUUUCCCAGCAAACAACGGCUUCCUGUUCAUAAGCUCCAUGAAAAUGCAACCAACCGACCAAACAUCAAUAGCAGCAGUGUACUCGGACGAAUUGAGCAGGAGCUCGGGUGCCCUGUACCAUCUCGUCACAACAUACUCUGUCAUGAAGUCGUUCUCUGAGCUCGUUCGUGCCAGCCCAAAGUCGCAUAUCUUGAGG